GGCGGGGUAGCUCAGCUGGUUAGAGCAGAGGAAUCAUAAUCCUUGUGUCGGCGGUUCAAAUCCGUCCCUCGCUACCA
rnacentral:tRNA from 4 species